rnacentral:rRNA from 1 species
UUGAACGCUGGCGGCCGGCCUAACACCUGCCAGUCGAGCGGAUGAAGGGAGCUUGCUCCUGGAUUCAGCGGCGGACGGGUGAGUAAUGCCUAGGAAUCUGCCUGGUAGUGGGGGAUAACGUCCGGAAACGGGCGCUAAUACCGCAUACGUCCUGAGGGAGAAAGUGGGGGAUCUUCGGACCUCACGCUAUCAGAUGAGCCUAGGUCGGAUUAGCUAGUUGGUGGGGUAAAGGCCUACCAAGGCGACGAUCCGUAACUGGUCUGAGAGGAUGAUCAGUCACACUGGAACUGAGACACGGUCCAGACUCCUACGGGAGGCAGCAGUGGGGAAUAUUGGACAAUGGGCGAAAGCCUGAUCCAGCCAUGCCGCGUGUGUGAAGAAGGUCUUCGGAUUGUAAAGCACUUUAAGUUGGGAGGAAGGGCAGUAAGUUAAUACCUUGCUGUUUUGACGUUACCAACAGAAUAAGCACCGGCUAACUUCGUG